rnacentral:rRNA from 1 species
ACGUAGGGGACGAGCGUUGUCCGGAUUUACUGGGCGUAAAGGGCGCGUAGGCGGUCAUUUGAGUCAGCUGUGAAAUGCGUUGGCUUAACCGGAUCAUGCGUUUGAAACUGGAUGACUGGAGUGCUGGAGAGGUAAGUGGAAUUCCUAGUGUAGCGGUGAAAUGCGUAGAUAUUAGGAAGAACACCAGUGGCGAAGGCGACUUACUGGACUGUAACUGACGCUGAGGCGCGAAAGCGUGGGUAGCAAACAG